GUAUCAGAGAGUCAGGUUGGCCCA
rnacentral:siRNA from 1 species